rnacentral:rRNA from 1 species
UCCUGCGGGUGCGCGCGUUANUCGGAAUUACUGGGCGUAAAGCGCACGCAGGCGGUUUGUUAAGCUAGAUGUGAAAGCCCCGGGCUCAACCUGGGAUGGUCAUUUAGAACUGGCAGACUAGAGUCUUGGAGAGGGGAGUGGAAUUCCAGGUGUAGCGGUGAAAUGCGUAGAUAUCUGGAGGAACAUCAGUGGCGAAGGCGACUCCCUGGCCAAAGACUGACGCUCAUGUGCGAAAGUGUGGGNAGCGAACAGG